rnacentral:rRNA from 1 species
UGAGGAAUUUUGCGCAAUGGGGGAAACCCUGACGCAGCGACGCCGCGUGGGCGAUGAAGCUCCUCGGAGUGUAAAGCCCUGUCAGGUGGGACGAAUGUCGGGAGGAAGAACACACCAUCCCGGCUGACGGUACCACCAGAGGAAGCCCCGGCUAACUCUGUGCCAGCAGCCGCGGUAAUACAGAGGGGGCGAGCGUUGUUCGGAAUCACUGGGUGUAAAGGGUGCGUAGGCGGUCAGUUAAGUCUGAUGUGAAAGCCCUCGGCUCAACUGGGGAAUUGCAUUGGAAACUAGCUGGCUGGAGUACUGGAGAGGGAAGCGGAAUUCCUGGUGUAGCGGUGAAAUGCGUAGAUACCAGGAGGAACACCGGUGGCGAAGGCGGCUUCCUGGCCAAGUACUGACGCUGAGGCACGAAAGCGUGGGGAGCGAACGG